rnacentral:rRNA from 1 species
GGCUCAGAACGAACGCUGGCGGCGUGCCUAACACAUGCAAGUCGAACGAGAAGUACGUAGCAAUACGUAUUGUAAAGUGGCGCACGGGUGAGUAACACGUGGGUAAUCUGCCCUUGAGUUUGGGAUAACCCCGCGAAAGCGGGGCUAAUACCGAAUAAGACCACGGGGACCAACGUCCCUGAGGUAAAAGAUGGCCUCUAUUUAUAAGCUAUCACUUGAGGAUGAGCCCGCGGCCCAUUAGCUAGUUGGUAGGGUAAUGGCCUACCAAGGCUAUGAUGGGUAGCUGGUCUGAGAGGACGAUCAGCCACACUGGAACUGAGACACGGUCCAGACUCCUACGGGAGGCAGCAGUGGGGAAUAUUGCGCAAUGGGCGAAAGCCUGACGCAGCAACGCCGCGUGGGGGAUGAAGGUUCUCGGAUUGUAAACCCCUUUCGAUCGGAACGAAUUCCCUCCUGGUAAAUAAUCAGGAGGGCUGACGGUACCGGGAGAAGAAGCCACGGCUAACUCUGUGCCAGCAGCCGCGGUAAGACAGAGGUGGCUAGCGUUGUUCGGAUUUAUUGGGCGUAAAGCGCACGCAGGCGGUUUGGUAAGUCAGAGGUGAAAUUCCGCAGCUUAACUGCGGAACUGCCUUUGAUACUGCCUUUCUAGAGUGCAUGAGGGGGAAGCGGAAUUCCGAGUGUAGAGGUGAAAUUCGUAGAUAUUCGGAGGAACACCGGUGGCGAAGGCGGCUUCCUGGCAUGUAACUGACGCUCAUGUGCGAAAGCGUGGGUAGCAAACAGGAUUAGAUACCCUGGUAGUCCACGCCCUAAACGAUGGGCACUAGGUGUGGGAGGUAUCGACCCCUUCCGUGCCGCAGCUAACGCAUUAAGUGCCCCGCCUGGGGAGUACGGCCGC